rnacentral:rRNA from 1 species
CACGAACGCUGGCGGCAGGCUUAACACAUGCAAGUCGAGCGCCCCGCAAGGGGAGCGGCGGACGGGUGAGUAACGCGUGGGAAUCUACCCAUCUCUACGGAAUAACGCAUGGAAACGUGUGCUAAUACCGUAUACGUCCUUCGGUAGAAAGAUUUAUCGGAGAUGGAUGAGCCCGCGUUGGAUUAGCUAGUUGGUGGGGUAAAGGCCUACCAAGGCGACGAUCCAUAGCUGGUCUGAGAGGAUGAUCAGCCACACUGGGACUGAGACACGGCCCAGACUCCUACGGGAGGCAGCAGUGGGGAAUAUUGGACAAUGGGCGCAAGCCUGAUCCAGCCAUGCCGCGUGGGUGAUGAAGGCCCUAGGGUUGUAAAGCCCUUUCAGCGGGGAAGAUAAUGACGGUACCCGCAGAAGAAGCCCCGGCUAACUUCGUGCCAGCCGCCGCCGUAAGAC